CGGUAACAGCUCAAAUUUGAAAUCUGGCUCCCUCGGGGCCCGAGUUGUAAUUUGUAGAAGAUGCUUCGGGCGUGGCCCCGGCCUAAGUUCCUUGGAACAGGACGUCACAGAGGGUGAGAAUCCCGUAUGUGGCCGGUGGUCUCCGCCCGUGUGAAGCUCUUUCGAC
rnacentral:rRNA from 1 species